UGACCUCGAUCAGUAGAGCCAGUCAUGGUU
rnacentral:rRNA from 1 species